rnacentral:RNase_P_RNA from 1 species
UGUGAUUUUCGGAUAAUCGCGUAGUAUUUUGAUACUAUGAGGAAAGUCCAUGCUAGCACUGGCUGUGAUGCCGGUAGUGUUUGUGCUAGGCGAAAAAAUAAGCCUAGGGACGUAUGAUGAUACGUUACGGCAGGUAAAAUGGCUAAGUCCUUGAUAUGCCAUAGUAACCUUGAAAGUGCCACAGUGACGAAGUUUCUAGGGAAACCUAGAAAGUGGAACGCGGUAAACCCCUCAAGCUAGCAACCCAAACUUUGGUCGGGGCAUGAGAUAGCUGGAAGACGAACAGAACUAUCUUGACUGCAACAGCAGUAGACAGAUGAUUAUCGAGGAAGUUGGUUCCUAGUCAACUUCUGAACAAAACAUGGCUUAUAGAAAAUUACAUAAU